UACCUUACAGUCUGAGGUCAGAAGCUGAAAUGUUGCUCACUGGACAAAGAUCAAGAUGUCAGCAGGGUUGUGUUCCCUUCCAGAGACUCUGCGGAAGAAUUCUACGUGGAGAAUUCACGUCCUUGCCCUUUCCCGCUUCUGGAGGCUGCCGCAUGCCUCUGCUCCCUUCCCUCCUCCAUCUUCAAGCAACAACAGGGAAGUCUUCUUACAUUGCAUCACUCUAACCUCCUCUUUUCCCUCCUUCUUCCACAUUUAAGGACUCUUGUGAGCACAUUGGUCCACCUGGAUAAUGCAGGUUACUCUCCCCAUCUCAAGGUCUUUAAUCACAUCCACAAAUUCCCUUUUGUCAUGUAAGGUAACAUAUUCAUGGGUUGCAGGGAUUCAGGCAGGGUCCAGCUUUAGCAGGGGCCACUAGUCUCCCUACUAUAGGCAUAAAACAGAUCAAGAAUCAAGCCAGGGGAGAGGGGUGGCAAUUAGAGGUAGGUGGCUAGUGGUCGGGUCAUCAGCAGCUGAGAGUCUAUAGUUUACAAGAACAAAACUACCCCUUUCCAAAUGAUCGCCCUAAGAAUUCCACCCCAGAUGGGACACGGAGUACAGGCGUGCCUCAUUACAAGUAAACGUCACACGAGGAAAGCUGCCCUGACCCACUCAGAUAAUUUGCCAAAGCAAGGAAUCACCACGGCGAAGUCAACCAAGCCUCACCCUGCUGGAACUGCCAGCGGUUUGCACCACUUAAACGUCUCCUAAUGGGCUAAAGCAGUUGCUAAUGGGCUAAUAAGCUGGCCAUUAACAGCUUCUUAAGUAGCAGACUGGGGGAGCCUGUGAUUCUAGUUACAGCCCCUGAGAUUGAGCUGUCGUCUCAGUUUAUAAAAGCCCCUAAAUUGGGGCAAGAACUCUUUCCCCUAAAGGUUGAUUUAUUUGCCUCCAAAUACCAAGGCAGCAAUUGUUCAAGUUACCAAAGAAUUUCUCCCUUCAUGAAAAUAUUCGCUCUGAAGUUCCCUGCCAGGUUCUUCCUUUGGGCAUUUAAAUGUUGGUUUACAGACCCUGAGUUAUUUCCAGAGACACUAAGGAAUAGAGACAUUUUUUAACGGAACUUUAAGACAUACUGUUUAAAAAUCAGUCAGAAAUGAAGAUAGAGCCUCAUGACAAUCGUAAUACAAAUGUCCCCCAGCAU
rnacentral:lncRNA from 1 species